UCCAUGUAUACAGGGAACGUGAGGACUGCAAGGAGUGAGGUAUUGAAACCCAGGGCAUGUGUUCACGUAUGCCAGGAGUUUGGUUUUCUGAAAAGGAGCAAAUCUGGGGUGUGACUUUUGAGGCACGUAGAAUUUCAUGGAACUUUGACUAGAGGUUGGUUUCCAAGUUCAGCGUCUUCUGAAGGGAGGUUGGGCAAGGCAGUCAUAGGUUCCCUUUUACCAUUGGGAGUGUGUAGACAUUCCCACCCGACAUCCUGAAGGCAGCAUCCUGUGAGAUGGAAGGGAAGAGCCUGAGAUCGUUUGGUUGUCAAGAAGGAAGUUCAGGUCUGGCCGAUUGGCGCGUUGGUUAAGAGCUGGCUUGUGACACCAGCUCUGAGCAGCAGGACCCUGGUUCGGAUCCCACA